GCGCGAGUGGUGGAAUUGGCAGACACGCAGGAUUUAGGUUCCUGUGCUUCGGCGUGCGGGUUCAAGUCCCGCCUCGCGCACCA
rnacentral:tRNA from 1 species